AAACUUUCAACAACGGAUCUCUUGGCUCUGGCAUCGAUGAAGAACGCAGCAAAAUGCGAUAAGUAAUGUGAAUUGCAGAAUUCAGCGAAUCAUCGAAUCUUUGAACGCACAUUGCGCCCCUUGGUAUUCCGGGGGGCAUGCCUGUCCGAGCGUCAUUA
rnacentral:rRNA from 1 species